rnacentral:misc_RNA from 1 species
ACAAUUACUAAAUAUACUUUAUUCAUCAUCAGAAUAUCUGUCCAAUGCAUACACUUAAAGAAAACAUCUCUUGGUUCCUCAGCAUUCAAAUAUCCUCAUAGAAUUGCGGACUGCCUGUCGACAGAGAGGACACUUCGGUGAUACCUCACGUUCAACUGAUAUAGCACAGAGUUGGCAACAAACAAGAUGCCCGCAUGGAAUGAAUGCAGAUCGUCUUCUCCUCAUCAAGCAUAUCACACACAACUGUCCAUCUGGCACAUCUCCUGCUUCCUCAUCUGCAUCAAUCAGAGGGGCAUCACCAUUGCUAGCAGCAUGGUUUUGUUGCUGAGACUGUCUAUGCUGCCUCCAUUCUUUCCACCUAUUCCAGUUCCUCACGACUGCAUAGCUGAGAACACCAAUUGAUAGUGAACCAAGAACAAUACCACUCCACAACAGUAUUUUUGUUUUGAAGGCAAGAUCUACCACCAUUUGAUCUUUACUCAUAUCGGACAGAAAAUAGGGAAGAUCCUUGCAAGAUUUUAUCUCAAGAACUCCAUUUCUAGAACUGCAAAUGCCAACAGCAUUGAUCUCCUUCC